UUUGUAUUCUCUCAUCUCUCAACCACUCAACCUAAACCUAGCUCCUCUUAACUGCCGACCUACUUCUUCGAUCUUCUCCAGUGACCAUAGUUCAAACACUAAGCCUCCAAUAGCUCCUCUAUUUCCAUGCUCAUCUCCUCUGAGGUCUUCAAGAGCCCUGUGCUACACUGACUUGCAUCCAGGGUUUCCAUUUGGUAUGCUCUUGGCUAGUUCAGUUUGAUUCCAAGGGAAAUCUUGUUGUACUUGUUACAAUCCAUGAGUUCUUGGCAGGUUCUUUCAUCUAUACUUAGGUUUCUUCUAAAACCCUAAUUUUGCUUACAACUCCUAG
rnacentral:lncRNA from 1 species